UAAUACGUAGGGUGCAAGCGUUAAUCGGAAUUACUGGGCGUAAAGCGUGCGCAGGCGGUUAUGCAAGACAGAUGUGAAAUCCCCGGGCUCAACCUGGGAACUGCAUUUGUGACUGCAUGACUUGAGUACGGUAGAGGGGGAUGGAAUUCCGCGUGUAGCAGUGAAAUGCGUAGAUAUGCGGAGGAACACCGAUGGCGAAGGCAAUCCCCUGGACCUGUACUGACGCUCAGGCACGAAAGCGUGGGGAGCAAACAGGAUUAGAUACCCUGGUAGUCCACGCCCUAAACGAUGUCAACUGGUUGUUGGGAGGGUUUCUUCUCAGUAACGAAGCUAACGCGUGAAGUUGACCGCCUGGGGAGUACGGCCGCAAGGUUGAAACUUAAAUGAAUUGACGG
rnacentral:rRNA from 1 species